rnacentral:tRNA from 1 species
UGUUCUGUGGCUUAGUUGGUCAAAGUACCCCGGUAUAACGAAUACGGAGUCGUGGGUUCGAAUCCCAUCAGAACGC